CGGAGGGUGCAAGCGUUAUCCGGAUUCACUGGGUUUAAAGGGUGUGUAGGCGGGCAAUUAAGUCAGUGGUGAAAUCUCCGGGCUCAACCCGGAAACUGCCAUUGAUACUAUUUGUCUUGAAUAUCGAUGAGGCGGGCAGAAUAUGUCAUGUAGCGGUGAAAUGCAUAGAUAUGACAUAGAAUACCGAUUGCGAAGGCAGCUCGCUAACCGAUCAUUGACGCUGAGGCACGAAAGCGUGGGGAUCAAACAGGAUUAGAUACCCUGGUAGUCCACGCCCUAAACGAUGAUUACUCGACAUACGCGAUACACAGUGUGUGUCUGAGCGAAAGCAUUAAGUAAUCCACCUGGGAAGUACGUCCGCAAGGAUG
rnacentral:rRNA from 1 species